rnacentral:rRNA from 1 species
UGAUGGCGAGUGGCGAACGGGUGAGUAAUAUAUCGGAACGUACCUAGUAAUGGGGAACAACUAGCCGAAAGGUUAGCUAAUACCGCAUACGACCUACGGGUGAAAGCAGGGGAUCUUCGGACCUUGCGUUAUUAGAGCGGCCGAUAUCUGAUUAGGUAGUUGGUGGGGUAAAAGCCUACCAAGCCAACGAUCAGUAGCUGGUCUGAGAGGACGAUCAGCCACACUGGAACUGAGACACGGUCCAGACUCCUACGGGAGGCAGCAGUGGGGAAUUUUGGACAAUGGGGGCAACCCUGAUCCAGCCAUUCCGCGUGAGUGAAGAAGGCCUUCGGGUUGUAAAGCUCUUUCACAAGAGAAGAAAUCUUACUAUCAAAUAAAUAGUAAGGAUGACGGUAUCUUGAGAAGAAGCACCGGCUAACUACGUGCCAGCAGCCGCGGUAAUACGUAGGGUGCGAGCGUUAAUCGGAAUUACUGGGCGUAAAGCGUGCGCAGGCGGUUUUAUAAGUCAGAUGUGAAAUCCCCGAGCUCAACUUGGGAACUGCGUUUGAAACUGUAAGACUAGAGUGUGUCAGAGGGGGGUAGAAUUCCAUGUGUAGCAGUGAAAUGCGUAGAUAUAUGGAGGAAUACCAAUGGCGAAGGCAGCCCCCUGGGAUAACACUGACGCUCAUGCACGAAAGCGUGGGGAGCAAACAGGAUUAGAUACCCUGGUAGUCCACGCCCUAAACGAUGUCUACUAGUUGUUGGUGGAGUAAAAUCCAUGAGUAACGCAGCUAACGCGUGAAGUAG